GACGAACGCUGGCGGCGUGCUUAACACAUGCAAGUCGAACGGAAAGGCCCUGCUUUUGUGGGGUGCUCGAGUGGCGAACGGGUGAGUAACACGUGAGUAACCUGCCCUUGACUUUGGGAUAACUUCAGGAAACUGGGGCUAAUACCGGAUAGGAGCUCCUGCUGCAUGGGGGGGGUUGGAAAGUUUCGGCGGUUGGGGAUGGACUCGCGGCUUAUCAGCUUGUUGGUGGGGUAGUGGCUUACCAAGGCUUUGACGGGUAGCCGGCCUGAGAGGGUGACCGGCCACAUUGGGACUGAGAUACGGCCCAGACUCCUACGGGAGGCAGCAGUGGGGAAUAUUGCACAGUGGGCGAGAGAGUGAUGCAGCAACGCCGCGUGCGGGAUGACGGCCUUCGGGUUGUAAACCGCUUUCGCCUGUGACGAAGCGUGAGUGACGGUAAUGGGUAAAGAAGCACCGGCUAACUACGUG
rnacentral:rRNA from 1 species